GGUCACCAACAGGUCUUCAAUGUAGCGAGAAAUUACCGCACCCGGAGGCGUCCUUCAACUGGCCCCUAAACAAAUGUAUACUAGUUCAGUGAUAAUGAACGCCAUACUAAUUUCCAAAUUGUACACAAGAAACUAAAAUUAAAAUAAUACAAGACUAACAAAGGCCAGAGGCUCCUGACUUGGGACAGGCGCAAAAAUGCGGCGGGGUUAAACAUGUUUGUGAGAUCUCAACCCUCCCCCUAUACCUCUAGCCAAUGUAGAAAAGUAAACGCAUAACAAUACGCG
rnacentral:lncRNA from 1 species